ensembl:lncRNA
UGAAAAGGAGAAUAUUUUUCCCAGCUCCUCAGAAAACCCUGUAGGAAAUGCAGGGGUUUUCAUCACAAGCAAAUUUUUUUUUCUCACUCAUAAAUUAUAUUUUAUGUAUGAUUAUUUGCAGCACAAUAUCCACACAGGGCUAUUUCAUGAAAACUUGGCGCUCUUAAUUUAAAACCUACAAAAGUUCUUUAAUCUUCACAGAGAUGUGGAGAAAAGCUGUAAAAAAUGUGUGUGAGUGUAUAAGAUAUUCCUGUUUCUUUAGGGUAAUGUUUAAUGAUCAGGCAGUGACUGAGUUUACAUACAUUAAAUAUUUAUUUUUCUUCUGUAGAGCUGAAUGGGGGAAUGUGCUCACUUUCCUGCCAGAUCACUAAUUGGUUUCUUUCAGUGUGCCAUUGUCUGAAGAUUUCACAGGUACCAAGGAGUGCAGUGUUCCUGGAGCCUGAGGGGCAGAGAGGCACCAGAGGAGCAGGGAAUAAUAACCAGGUCUCUUGCUUCAUACUCCCAUAUUUACAUUAACAUUUUUCUUCUUCUUUUUGUAUGUCAUAGUGACAUUGGUGCUGCUCUAAAUGCAUGAGAAAAAAUGAGAAUUGUGACAGGAAGGUAAAGCUCAGCAGAGGAUUGUACCAACAUGGAUAGGAUGGAUAAGGAUCUGCACAGGUGCAGAAACAUUUUCAGGGAUCUGGCUCCCCUUUUUGUCCAUCAGAAUUUAAAUGGAAGAGGCAAAACCUGGUUGUGUAAAAGUUUCAAUUUACUUUCUCUCUUUUUCUAGAUAAACUCGAAAAUUGCUGUUUUUCUUCCCAGGUGAAGAUGAUAUACAUACUCAUAUUUCCAGACUUUCUGUAGUACAAAUCCCUUUGUGUUUCCUUGGAGCCAUUUCAGCAACGCUCAUGGCUGAGGAUGUGCCUUUCACAGAGGGGAGCACACACCUUUUCCUUGCAUGGCCACAUAUUUCCUUACCUUUUCUUCUUUUCCUGCUUUUCUUCUUAGAAUGCAGAGGCAGCGCACUCCAUCAAAGGGUGUGGCUGGAAUGGAUUCAGGGAAGAUUCCAGGUCACCUUCAGAGCCCCAGGGCUGGGCAGGGAGGAGGAGGAGGUGGCUUCUUCCUCCUGGGCACACAAAGGGCCAGGGCAUCACUGCAAACUUCAUUCAAACCUUCAUCCUCAGGUGCCUGCAGGUGCCAGCACAUGAAUCCCUCUCAGAACCAAUGCUGUGCAUUCCCAGGGCCAGCACAAGCAGCUGUGCAUUCCUGGAAUGUGGUCCCUGGAGAGUGGCUGAAGCCCCCGCACAAAGGAAAUGAGUCCGGUUUAGCAGAGGAACCAGGAGAAACAGCUAUUACUGAUAAGAAGUUAUUGCAAGCAGAGCCUGGGAUCCCAUGCCAGUUGGCAGGCUGAAUUAUCCACCAGAUUUUCAUCAGAAGGACUUGGAUCAUUUUGAAAAGUGAUGCAGGAGCAUGUACUCGAGCUGAGCUAUCUAAUGAUUUAAAGCUUUGUAUUAAAUAGCUGUUCAGCUGCAGUCACUGAGUCAGUCCUGCCCACCUUAAACUCCUUUGCCUAGCUUGGAGCAUUGUAAACCUGGGG